rnacentral:rRNA from 1 species
GGCUUAACACAUGCAAGUCGAGGGGCAGCAUGGUCUUAGCUUGCUAAGGCCGAUGGCGACCGGCGCACGGGUGAGUAACACGUAUCCAACCUGCCGUCUACUCUUGGACAGCCUUCUGAAAGGAAGAUUAAUACAAGAUGGCAUCAUGAGUCCGCAUGUUCACAUGAUUAAAGGUAUUCCGGUAGACGAUGGGGAUGCGUUCCAUUAGAUAGUAGGCGGGGUAACGGCCCACCUAGUCUUCGAUGGAUAGGGGUUCUGAGAGGAAGGUCCCCCACAUUGGAACUGAGACACGGUCCAAACUCCUACGGGAGGCAGCAGUGAGGAAUAUUGGUCAAUGGGCGAGAGCCUGAACCAGCCAAGUAGCGUGAAGGAUGACUGCCCUAUGGGUUGUAAACUUCUUUUAUAAAGGAAUAAAGUCGGGUAUGCAUACCCGUUUGCAUGUACUUUAUGAAUAAGGAUCGGCUAACUCCGUGCCAGCAGCCGCGGUAAUACGGAGGAUCCGAGCGUUAUCCGGAUUUAUUGGGUUUAAAGGGAGCGUAGAUGGAUGUUUAAGUCAGUUGUGAAAGUUUGCGGCUCAACCGUAAAAUUGCAGUUGAUACUGGAUAUCUUGAGUGCAGUUGAGGCAGGCGGAAUUCGUGGUGUAGCGGUGAAAUGCUUAGAUAUCACGAAGAACUCCGAUUGCGAAGGCAGCCUGCUAAGCUGCAACUGACAUUGAGGCUCGAAAGUGUGGGUAUCAAACAGGAUUAGAUACCCUGGUAGUCCACACGGUAAACGAUGAAUACUCGCUGUUUGCGAUAUACAGCAAGCGGCCAAGCGAAAGCGUUAAGUAUUCCACCUGGGGAGUACGCCGGCAACGGUGAAACUCAAAGGAAUUGACGGGGGCCCGCACAAGCGGAGGAACAUGUGGUUUAAUUCGAUGAUACGCGAGGAACCUUACCCGGGCUUAAAUUGCAGAUGAAUUACGGUGAAAGCCGUAAGCCGCAAGGCAUCUGUGAAGGUGCUGCAUGGUUGUCGUCAGCUCGUGCCGUGAGGUGUCGGCUUAAGUGCCAUAACGAGCGCAACCCUUGUUGUCAGUUACUAACAGGUUCCGCUGAGGACUCUGACAAGACUGCCAUCGUAAGAUGUGAGGAAGGUGGGGAUGACGUCAAAUCAGCACGGCCCUUACGUCCGGGGCUACACACGUGUUACAAUGGGGGGUACAGAGGGCCGCUACCACGCGAGUGGAUGCCAAUCCCAAAAACCUCUCUCAGUUCGGACUGGAGUCUGCAACCCGACUCCACGAAGCUGGAUUCGCUAGUAAUCGCGCAUCAGCCACGGCGCGGUGAAUACGUUCCCGGGCCUUGUACACACCGCCCGUCAAGCCAUGGGAGCCGGGGGUACCUGAAGUGCGUAACAACGAGGAGCGCCCUAGGGUAAAACUGGUGACUGGGGCUAA